rnacentral:misc_RNA from 1 species
GUGGAGUAGGAAAGGGAAGUGUUCACUCGGAUCUGGCGGCGUAUCGCUCCACCUUUGGGUCGUUGAGGUUGAUGCCGACCAUGGCCUCCCCGAGCCCCGCGCUGACGUCGGUCAGGAUGGUGGGGUCGCUGUAGUGGGUGACCGCCUGGACGAUGGCGCGGGCGCGGCGCGCGGGGUCGCCGCUCUUGAAGAUGCCGGAGCCGACGAAGACGCCGUCGCAGCCGAGCUGCAUCAUGAGCGCGGCGUCGGCGGGCGUGGCCACGCCCCCCGCCGCGAACUGCACGACGGGGAGCCGCCCCAGCUGCUUGGUCUGCAUGACCAGGUCGUAGGGCGCGGCGAUGCGCUUGGCGUAGGCGAACACCUCGUCGUCGUCCAUGCCGCGGAGCGCGCGGACGGCGCCCGCGACGGAGCGCACGUGGCGCACCGCCUCCACGACGUUGCCCGUGCCGGCCUCCCCCUUGGUGCGGAUCAUGGCGGCGCCCUCGCGGACCCUGCGCAGCGCCUCGCCGAGGUCGCGGCAGCCGCACACGAAGGGCACGCGGAAGUUGUGCUUGUUGAUGUGGUGGGCGUCGUCGGCCGGGGUCAGCACCUCGCUCUCGUCCACGUAGUCCACGCCCACGGCCUCCAGGAUCUGCGCCUCCACGAAGUGCCCGAUGCGGGCCUUGGCCAUGACGGGGAUGGUCACGGCGCGCUUGAUGUCGCGGAUCAGGCCCGGGUCCGACAUGCGCGCCACGCCACCCUGCGCGCGGAUGUCGGCGGGGACACGCUCCAGCGCCAUCACGGCGCAGGCGCCGGCCUCCUCGGCGAGGCGGGCCUGCUCCGGGGUCACCACGUCCAUGAUCACACCGCCGCGGAGCAUCUGCGCCAGGCCCACCUUCACGGAGAAAGUCGACGACUUGGGCUGCUUCGGCGGCUCCAGCAGCGCCGCGCCGUUGUUGCCGUACACCGUCACCACGCCACUGCCGUCGGACGCCAUUGUUUGGUUGGCGGAUUCGAUCGGUUACCCUAUCUAUCUAUCUAUCUAUCUAUCUAUCUAUCCUCUCGGCUCGAUGAACAAGUUCCCGGCGGCGGUGUGGG